rnacentral:tRNA from 1 species
UGUAGCUCAGUCGGUCGGAGCACCUGAUUCGUAAUCAGGAGGUCACGGGUUCGAAUCCCGUCAU